GACGAACGCUGGCGGCGUGCUUAAUACAUGCAAGUCGAACGGAAAGGCGCGGCGUUUGUGGGGUGCACGAUUGGCGAACGGGUGAGUAACACGCGAGUAUCAUGCCCUUGUCUUUGUGGUAACUCUAGGAAACAGGGGCGCAUACCGGAUAGGAGCUCUUGCUGCAUGGUGGGGGAUGGAAAGUUUCGGCGGUGGGGGAUGGACUCGCGGCUUAUCAGCUUGUUGGUGAGGUAGUGGCGUACCAAGGCUUUGAAGGAUAGCCGGCCUGAGAGGGUGACCAGGCACAAGAGGACUGAGAUACGGACCAGAAGGCUACGGGACGCAGUGGGCGGGAAUCUUGCAGAACAGGCGGAAGCCUGAUGCAGCAGUGCUGGGUGCGUGAUAACCGCUUUUGAGGUAUAAACCGCUUUCGACUGUGACAUACCCGGAGUGACGGUACUGGGUAAGAAAGCAACGGCUAACUACGUG
rnacentral:rRNA from 1 species